rnacentral:rRNA from 1 species
AUGCCGCUCUCCUCAGUGCGUCGAGACACCUCAAUCGCUGCUGCAUGCCGCUCUCCUGAGUGCGCCGACCCACUGCUGUGCCCCUGCUUUGUCCAUCUACAUCACCCGCAUCACCCAAGCCCUCCUCCAAAUCUCUCGUCCUCCCUCUCAAUCUCCUCCUCCCUCUCAAUCUCGGCAUCCCACCCAUGGCACUCCACGCGCUGGACAACUAGUUGCCGGCCGCCGUGGCGGACCAGCGGCCCAAGAAGGCCGCCAAGCUGCUCUCCACGGCACCUACCAUCGCCGUCGCCCGCUCCCCCACCGGGAGUGGAGCCGACCGUGGAGUACGUCCGGUCCAUGGACCUGCUGCCCGUCCUCGGCCCCAAAGCCCGAACCGCCGGCCUCGUCGCUAGGCUCGAAUCCCGGGACUGGGUCAUGGCCUGCGAGGCCCUCAACGACGCGCGCCGCCUCGCCAUCCACCACUCCGCCCUCCUCGCCCCCAUCAUAGAGAAGGUGGUGCUGGGGAUCUUGAAGACGGUGAAGGACCCGCUCAACGCCGUUCUCAAGACCUUCGUGAUGGUGUGCACGGACGUAUUCGCGGCCUUCGGCAACCUCUGGUUGAGCAGCAGCUGUAGCAGCAGCUUGUCCAAGCUGAUGUGUGCCAUGGCCACCUCCAUGCCGCCCCUGCAGAUGCACAGGUUGAAUGGAUCGAUGUCCAGCAUUGUUAGCACUCUCAAACUUGAGCGCGCAUGCGUUGCUCUUUCUACUCCGUUUUUAACGGAAUGA